rnacentral:rRNA from 1 species
GAUGAACGCUGGCGGCGUGCCUAACACAUGCAAGUCGAGCGGCAGCGAGGGGUGCUUGCACCCUGUCGGCGAGCGGCGGACGGCUGAGUAACGCGUGGGAACGUGCCCCAAAGUGAGGAAUAACUGUCCGAAAGGGUAGCUAAUACCGCAUAUUAUCUUCGGAUCAAAGGAUUUAUCCGCUUUGGGAGCGGCUCGCGUCGGAUUAGGUAGUUGGUGAGGUAAUGGCUCACCAAGCCGACGAUCCGUAGCUGGUCUGAGAGGAUGACCAGCCAGACUGGAACUGAGACACGGUCCAGACUCCUACGGGAGGCAGCAGUGAGGAAUCUUCCACAAUGGGCGAAAGCCUGAUGGAGCAACGCCGCGUGCAGGACGAAGGCCUUCGGGUUGUAAACUGCUUUUAUAAGUGAGGAAUAUGACGGUAACUUAUGAAUAAGGAUCGGCUAACUACGUG